CUGGUCUUUCCUUCUCAGACAGACACCACCAUGAUUGAAGUUUACAAAAGGCAGCUAGGCAAGGGCAAAGCAGUUGGGACAUGCUUGACACAUGAAUUUGAAAAGGGAAGAGGAGAAGGAGGAAGAGGAGUGUUGAAACAGGAGUGCUAAGCGAUAAUAAAUGAUAACGACCACAGAGGAACCUGCUGGCUGAAAGUAACAAUGAAAAUUUACAAAAUAGAAGAUCCAGACAAAGAUAGGAAGACUAUGUAAGCAUGUUUUUUUUCCUUCUUCACUCUUAAUUAAUUCUUUCCUUCUGACAGUUCAACCUUACACAUAUUUCCAAAUAACUUUCCACC
rnacentral:lncRNA from 1 species